CAGGUUCCGACACGCGGGCUCUGCAGCGCGGGUGCAACACGGAAGGCGACUCGUCGGAUGGCUCGUGUCCCGCGGACCUCGAGAGCCGCCUUGGCAGGCGCAAGAGGCCACUGGGCUCCAAGCCGAACUGGGAGAAGAACUGCACGCACGACGAAGCGCAGCGCCGCCAACUCGAGGCCGGGGAGCGAUUGCGCCACUGUCCCCACGGCAACGCCAUUCGGGAGCUGGACGAGAACUUGCCAGCGCACGCCGAGCAGCUUUACUGGACGCAUGGGUGGCAAACAGAGAAGUCAUGGAAAACGGCCCAGGCCAAUCCUGACGGCACGAGAUCACCGCACUUGAACAAGCACAAGACGUCACAUUCACAAGAAAGUCCAAGAAAAGACACACGAUGCUGAAUUGCACAAGAGCACCAAUCAAAGUCACUUUUAGAUGUUUUGUACACUUAAAUUAUUUGCACUUAUUUUUAUAGACGGUCACAAAAUGUACUAUUUAUUAACCACUAAAUAAACACAGAUUUGGAGUCAUUGCUUUUCUUUUUGG